rnacentral:lncRNA from 1 species
GGUCGCGCUCCCCGCGGUCUGCGCGUGGGGAGGCGGGGCACGCUUUGCUUCUCGGUGCACGCUCCUGUCACGUAGCCGGCGGAGCAGCAGGAGUCAGCCAAGUAGGCUGAGCCUGGGUCGUGGUGGCAGAAAAGCACAUGCACGGGCCGUGUUCGGUACAGUUCCAGGCUGCUGUCACCGGGCGUGCAGGGGCGUCCAGUGGAGGUGGAGGGAAAGGUGGGGUGAGGCUGAGAGUGCUGGCAGGGAGGUGCAGAUUGCUUCGUGUGCGAUGAGGACAUCAGAUGUGUUGAAGCAGGAGAGAAAAAUCCCUGUUUCAGAAAGUCACACUGUUGGCCAGAGGCGAAUAGAGGGAAGUAGGCUGGGGCUGGAAGGUGUGAGUUCAGAAAGCCACAAAGGAACAGUUAGGUGAGGGACCUGUUGGAUGCCUUGAUUGUGAUGAUGGAUACCCAGCUGGCACACAUUAUCAAAAAUUCUUAAACUGCAAUAUGUAAGCAAAAAGAAGCACCAGUGAUAAUCCCUCUUUCAUAGAGCAGGUGUGGGAAUUAAAAGGCAGAUGGGAGCACAGUGGCUGAACACAAGUAGGGCCUGGGCAUCGGAGAGGGGAAGAGGAUCCAGAACUAUUGCAGGGAGGAGGAGGGGCUGGGAGCCUGGUCCAUUGGAAAGACCAAGGACCAACACAAAGCAUGCAUGAGACUAGAACAAAUCAUAAGAGGACAAACUGAGUUUUUUCAGGCUGGAAAGAGCAGAAGGUUUAUGAAGGGACUUGGGAGCUAAUUUAAAAUAUGACAUAGAAGAGAUCUUUUCCUUAUUGCUCCAGAGCAAUAAAAGUAUGUGGGAAUGAGAGAGUAUGUCUGGGGAGGGAGAAAGAGAAGGGCUGAUUUCAGGUCAAAAUAAUGAACUUUUUACAACAUCCUCAGGACUGAACUGCUCCUCAGCAGACCUGCUCAAUCUCCAAAUGCUGUGAGGAGGUCUCUCCAUGGGACAAGAUGACGGACAAGAUUCCUCUUAGGUUACACCUAGUUGCAAGACAGUGGUUUGAAGUACAUAAGAGGUCUUUGACUAAACCUAC